rnacentral:rRNA from 1 species
CGUCAUCGUAGGGUUAGUCGGGACCUAAGUCGAGUCCGAAAGGGGUAGACGAUGGAAAAUAGGUUAAUAUUCCUAUACCGACAUUACAUCAUUUGAGUGAUGGGGGGACGCAUAGAGUUAAACGAGGUCACUGAUGGAAUAGUGGCUCGAAGGACGUAGGUUGAGAAGUAGGCAAAUCCGCUUCUCAUGAGACCGAGAUCUUACAGGCAGAACAAUUACUUCGGUAAGCGUUCUGAAUCGUUGAUACUGUCGUGCCGAGAAAAGCCUCUAAACGAGAUGUAAUGUUGCCCGUACCGUAAACCGACACAGGUGGGUGAGAUGAGUAUUCUAAGGCGCGUGGAAGAACCCUGGUUAAGGAACUCUGCAAACUAGCACCGUAACUUCGGAAUAAGGUGUGCCCGUAGUAUGUGAAAGGAUUUACUCCUGGAGCAGAAGCGGGUCGCAGCAAAGAGUCCCUCCCGACUGUUUAC